rnacentral:rRNA from 1 species
GACGAACCGUGCAAACGUUGUUCGGAAUCACUGGGCUUAAAGGGCGCGUAGGCGGGCGGCCAAGUCCGGGGUGAAAGCCCCCAGCUCAACUGGGGAAGUGCCUUGGAAACUGGUCGUCUUGAGGGAGGUAGGGGCAUGUGGAACUUCGGGUGGAGCGGUGAAAUGCGUUGAUAUCCGAAGGAACGCCGGUGGCGAAAGCGACGUGCUGGAUCUCUUCUGACGCUGAGGCGCGAAAGCAUGGGGAGCGAACAGG